AUACUUUUUUUUAUUCAUUGUUUAUCUAUUUGUAUCGUAUAUAUUGUGUUUUUUGGUUCUUAUGUGUAGUACUUUUCUUAUGUGUAGUACUUAUUUGUGUUUUUAUGUUUGUAUGUUAUGUGUAGUACUUAUUGUGUUUGUAUGUUUUUAUGUUUACUGUAUGCACCUUCACACCAGAAAAAAUUCCAAUAAAUCCCAUUCUGAUUCUGAUUCUAAAAUGUCACAAGGAAGUCCGUCCUGAGAUAUAACAGAUCAGACUCGGGGGGGGGGGGGGGGGGUGAGGCAUUAGCUGGCAUGGCAAGUAUUUUAUUGGAAUGGUUUACAUAUGAAGCCGACUCAUCUCCGUUUCACCAUGAAUACUACUUAAUUCCAAAAUAUGCGUCUUCCAAAAGCUGUCUCAGAAAAUCACGUCCUAAACAAAGUGUACGGUUCGGGCCACCUUGACGUUACUCUCCAUGCCUACACGUCAGUAGUAAAGCGAUGGCCACACAACUCUCUUCAAAAAGUAAUCUUCACAUCAACACUCAAAACGUGUCAGCAAUUGUAGAGAAUACGUUUUAAAACAGACAUUACCAAUCACGUGAUUCGUGUUCAGAAUACAUUUGAAAACAGACAUUAGUCAUCACGUCUGUGUUUAGAAUAGGUUUCAAAUAAAGCAUUACAAAUCACACGGGUGUUCAGUCACUGAGAUCAAGGCAAAAGUACAAAAAUAUAGCAAAAGCUAUUUUUACAUUCUUCAUCAUUUAAAAAAACAGCAAGGCCUGAGAGUGUAGAAACAGACACUGCCCUUCAUUCACAGAAAGAUUUACAGUCUCUUAGUGUCUAUUCAAACACACAGCAUAUUUACACGUCUUCAACCACUCCUUGAGUAAAACCAUUACAGAGUGCAUAUCAAAAACAACUGGCAAUCCCUGAAUUCAAAAGCUUUCAAUCUUAAGCUCAUUUGAACUCCACACUGUCCGUAUUAUCAUUCUACCACUCCUCCUCCUCCUCCUCCUCCUCCUCCUCUCUCAUCUCAUGCUGUCCUCCUCCUCCUCUUCCUCCUCCUCCUCCUCCUCCUCUCUCAUCUCAUGCUGUCCAGCUCCUCCUCAGGAGUGUGCUCCUUCAACACAUACGCUGGCUCUAUGUAAGGAUGUUCAUUUCUACUGCGUUUGUGAGUACAGUCCUCUUGCCACUGGGGGGCACUGUUCUCCAUCACCACCUCCAUGCCCUCACCAGAGGGAGCAUUGGCUUUAUGCUGGGGCAGAGAGGACGACACAGGCACCGGCACGAACCCGUGGUACACCACCAUGGACGGGUUCAGCAUCUCCAUAGAGACGGGACCCGGCCCUGCUGGCAGAGCGCCCUCUGCUGACUGCACAGGGAGGUGCACGUAGCUGCCGGUCUCCGGGUCGAAGAAGGUCUUGGUCUUGACCUGCACUGGCAUGUCCACCACAAAGUACUGGCCCGAGUCGGGAUCCUGCAGCAGCUUCCGCUGGGUCAUGGGGAAGGACUGGGGCACCAGGUUAGAGGUCGUGGGGGGGUACGUGUGGUCUGGGGGGGGUACGUGUGCUCGGAGCUGUUCUGACGCACAAGGAGGCCGUUGAGGGAGGUGCGGCGGGAUGAACCUCUGGACGACUGGGCUGAUGUGAUGUCACUUCCUGCGUGGUUGAGGUCACGUGACUGGGCUGAUUUGAUGUCACUUCCUGCGUGGUUGUGGUCACGUGACUGGCGCCGGUGCUGGCUGGGGCGGGGCUGGAGGUCUCGCUCCAGACUCCUGCUCCUCCGGUCGCCACGGCAACCGAUAUCACUGGGACUCUCCAUCAGGUAAACCUGCUGGUGCUGGUGCUGAUGCUGAUGCUGAUGCUGCUCGGACACCUGCUCAGCAGAGUCUCUCCCGUUGCCAUGGCUCCUCAGGUCUCUAUGGUUGCCGAUGUGCCUGUCGCUGCUGUAGCUCGCAUGUUUGACGCGCGCGUGUUUCUCGCCGCUCCUGCCUUUGCGGUCGUGGUCAUGGGGACCGCUGUGGCUCGAGGGCAUGUUGCUAUGGUGAUCACUGUUUUUCGAUUUGUCCUGUUGUUUCUCGCUGCUGCUGCUGUGGUAAAUGUGCCUGUCGCUAUGGUGAUCACUGCUGUGGUGAAUGUGCCUGUUGCUAUGGUGAUCACUGCUGUGGUGAUUGUGCUCUGACUCUGUUCUCUCUCUGCCCUGGUGCUCCUGGUCAGUCCCUGGAUUGUUCUGGAUCCAGUUCUUCAGGUCGAGCUCUACCUUCUCUCCGCUGUGGUUCUUCUUGUCGGGUUCCGGCUUCUCUGCACUGCGGUUCUUGCGGUCCGUUUUGCGGCCCUUCACCUCUGCCUUCUGGAUGCGGCGGGUGGUCAGCCUCUUGGCCCGUCUCAGUGCCUUCUCACUUUUGGGCAAGACGGCGGGCGGGGGCUUCCUGCUCAGACCCUCUGUGCCCUCUGUGCCACUGCAGACCGACUCCGACUCGCACCUCUCGCCCUCUGGGUCGUCGGUCUGUGCCGCGCCCAGCCCCGUCUCGUCACCCACGCUCGUGUCGUUGCUUCUCACGCCCUCCGAUAGGCUACUCGAGACAGAGCCCCGCCCCCCCUCCUCCGGCACCUCCAGCAUCUGCCCCUGGGGCAGCCGGGAGGGUGAGGGGGGCGGCCGGGAGGGUGAGGGGGGCAGAGGGGCAGCGGCGCCCUCUGCAGGUGUGGAGUGGGAGCUCUCUGGGAGUGGGGAGCUGGCCGUCUCCACCAAGAUGGGGAUCCGCAGUGCCUCCCUGGGGCGGUCCGGCUCCUCCUCGCCCCUCUCGGACCCGCUCAGGCUCUCGCGCGGGGACCAGGGCUUUGACCCGCUCAGACUCUCCUGCGGGGGGGACCAGGGCUUUGACCCGCUCGGGUUCUCCUGCGGGGACCAGGGCUUUGAGCCGCUCAGGCUGUCCUGCGGGGGGGACCAGGGCUUUGUGAUCAUGUCCUGGACGGACUUGUGCAGGACGGGCCGGACCGUCUUGGUGACGGGGGAGGAGGUGGAGGAGGUGGAGGAGGAGGCGAACGUGUUGUCCUUCACCUUGAACAGCACUGGCUUGGUGGCCGGGGUGGGUGAGGAGGCAUUGGACUGGCUGGGGGUCAAGCUGACGGGUGUCAGGUCUUUCGGGGUGAGGCUCUGGGCGUGUUCGAUCAGACCGCGGAGCCAUCCGGCGUGGUCCAGGUCACUGAGAGGAGACACAAUCUGCCGCUCCGAAGCAUCUGAUUCACUUCCUGGGUCACCGAAGGUGCAGUAGUCUAACUCAGGCUUCACCGAGUCCUCCUUUGGCUUCACCAAGUCCUCCUUUGGCUUCACCAAGUCCUCCUUUGGCUUGCUAACAUCUGCUCCUCUCUGCUCCAACUUAACGCUGCACUCCUGUUCUGUUGAGUGCUUCUGAGAUAAGUUAUGGCUGUAUGAAGAGGGGGACCUCACGGGGGACUGCAGUGGACUGUACACGGGGGGGGACCUGUGCUUCAGGAUGUCGUGAAUGGUUACGCUGUCCCCCACAGGUGUGUGUGUGUUGUGGAGUUCAGGGGACGCAGGUUGGUGUUCGCUGCUGUUCCUCUCGGUAGCUGCCUCGUGGUCAGCUGUGGCCUUCUCUUCGCCGGACAGCCCCAGCAGGCUUAAGAAGUCUUUCACAUAACUCUGCCUCUGCUUCGCCCUCUGACCCUUCUGAGCGGACACCUCGCUGUCUCUCUCCUUCGCCUCCUCCUCCUUCUCACUCUUCUCUUCCCCAAGAGACGACCCGCGAAUCACUUCCUGCACCUCUGGAGAACCAGGACAUUCCUGCCCCUUAGGGGUUUGCUUCUGCGCUGUCUCGAACUGUUUUGAGUUUAUCUCUGGUUUUAUCUUUGUUUUGUGCAGCGUAUCUCUUUCAUGAGUCUUAUUCUCAGCUUUCUGUGACUCUUUCUCUGUGUAGGUGACUGUCUUUGUCCAGGACUCUUGUGUACUAGUCUUAGCAGAGUCCUCAGUAGAGUUAUUCUGUUUGUUAUCUUUGCUCAUCUCUAAGUGGGCUUCAUGUUUGUUAUGUUUGCUCAUCUCUAAGUGCUUGUUGUUGUUUUGAGUUUCAUCUUGUCCCUUCUGUUCAGUCUUCCUGUCUCCAUGCACAUGUUCCCUCCCCUCGUCUUUAGUGCUUCCUGCUUCCUGCUCUGCAUAGUCUUCCUCUGCUGUCCUGCCCUCACCCCUCGUGCCAGUCCUGUCCUCACCCCUCGUGCCACUCCUGUCCUCAUCCCUCGUGCCAGCUUUGCCCUCACCCCUCGUGCCAGUCCUGUCCUCCUCCCUCGUGCCAGCUUUGCCUUUCCUGGGAGGAACAGCAGGUGGCGAUCUUGUGCUCUGACGGCCACGUUCCCUACCAGCCUUCUCGCUCCUGCUGUAACCUGUUCCCUCUCUCUCUGAGCUCUCCUGCCUCUUCACCCUCUCCCCCUCCCUGUCCCUCUCCGACGGUGGGUAAGACUGAGUGCCCCCCCUCCCCCCGCCAGUCUCAUCAGCGCCACCCCCCCUCCCCCUGCCAGUCUCAUCAGCGCCACCCACCCUCCCCCUCUCGCCUGACUUUCCUUCUCUGUUGUGUUUGAUCUGUUUGGUGGGGGGCGUGGGGUCUUGUUGAUGAACACCCUUGGCUAAUUGCCCUCGAGGGGCCACAGGUCCUUUAGUGCUCUCGGCCUGCUGGUCAGAGUGCAUCGUCUGGUCGCCGCGCACAGAAAUAUCCUGUCUGUUCUCCCUUCUGUCCCUCAGAACCCUGCUCGGUUCUCUCUCUCUCUGCUGUGAGACCACGGUUCUGUUCUCCUGACGGUCCUCUACACCUCCCUGCUGCUUGUGUUCCGAUGACCCCUGACCUCUCCUCUUCCUCUCCUCUCUCUCCGCUAUGACCUCCUCCAGCGCCAUCUUGGCCAGGUCGUAUUUGUCGAGCGUGGCGUUCUGCCUCGUGGCGUGUCUGCCCGGUGGCUGCGGGUGCAUGUUGGCGAACAGGUCUCGCUUGGCCAGUGUGUUGCCUCUGAGGGGUACGAUGCCCUUUUGGGUGCGCCCGUCAGGCAAGGGCGAGGGUAACAGAAUGUUAUUUUCACGCCUUGGGCUCUCAUUUGGCGCUGGUACGUCGUCCCGGGGGGGCAUCGGAGACUCUUUCGGAGCGGAGCGGAGUCCCGCGCGCUGGUGGUCCGCAGCCUUAGUUCUCUCUGCCCGCUGCUGCUCCUGACGAGCCUGGAGCUCAGCCUUAGUUCUCUCUGUCCGCUGCUCCUGAAGCUCAGCCUUAGUUCUCUCUGCCCGCUGCUCCUGAAGCUCAGCCUUAGUUCUCUCUGCCCGCUGCUCCUGAAGCUCAGCCUUAGUUCUCUCUGCCCGCUGCUGCUGCUCCUGAAGCUCAGCCUUAGUUCUCUCUGCCCGCUGCUGGUCCUGGAGCUCAGCCUUAGUUCUCUCUGCCCGCUGCUGCUCCUGAAGCUCAGUCUUAGCUCUCUCUGCCCGCUGCUGCUCCUGAAGCUCAGCCUUAGCUCUCUCUGCCCGCUGCUCCUGAAGCUCAGCGUUAGUUCUCUCUGCCCGCUGCUGCUCCUGACGAGCCUGGAGCUCAGCCUUAGCUCUCUCUGCCCGCUGCUCCUGAAGCUCAGCGUUAGUUCUCUCUGCCCGCUGCUGCUCCUGACGAGCCUGGAGCUCAGCCUUAGCUCUCUCUGCCCGCUGCUCUGCCCGCUGCUGCUCCUGAAGCGCAGCCUUAGUUCUCUCUGCCCGCUGCUGCUCCUGAAGCUCAGCCUUAGUUCUCUCUGCCCGCUGCUGCUCCUGAAGCUCAGCCUUCACCUCCUUCAGCAGAGCCUCCUCUCUGAGCUCGUCCCACUCCUCACACUCCUCCUCCUGCUCCCCCACGAAGGCGCUCCUCUGGCUUUUGAUGUAGUUGUUCUGCCGAGCAGAGAAGGCGUGUUUAGCGUCACAGCUAGAGUCUGUCUCUCUGGGUGAAGAGUGUUUAGUGUCGGAGUGUGUCUCUCUGGGUGAAGAGUGUUUAUUGUUGGAGUGUGUGUCUCUGGGUGAAGCGUCACAGAUGGAGUGUGUGUCUCUGGGUGAAGAGUGUUUAGUGUUGGAGAUGGAGUCUGUCUCUCUGGGUGAAGUGUGUUUAGUGUCGGAGAUGGAGUGUGUCUCUCUGGGUGAAGAGUGUUUAGAGUUGGAGUCUGUGUCUCUGGGUGAAGGGUGUUUAGUGUUGGAGAUGGAGUGUGUCUCUCUGGGUGAAGAGUGUUUAAUGUUGGAGUCUGUCUCUCUGGGUGAGGGGUGUUUAGUGUCGGAGUGUGUCUCUCUCGGUGAGGGGUGUGUCUCGAUGGGUGAAGAGUGUUUAGUGUUGGAGAUGGAGUGUGUCUCUCUGGGUGAAGAGUGUUUAGUGUUGGAGAUGGAGUGUGUCUCUCUGGGUGAUGAAGAGAGUUUGACUCUGGCUGCUACAGGAGGGGGUUGUUUGGCUGGUUUGGGUUUCUCAGAUGGUUUCUCUGGUAAAUCAGGCAGUCGUCUCUCCUCUUUUAAUGUAUCUCUGUCUCCUUCUUUAUCCACAGCACCAUCUAUGGCCUGGAGGCCAGUAGUAGGACACACAGGUGGUAUUUCUUUGCCUCUCUUUCCGGGGUCCUUACUCACAGUCGCGGCGUUCUGCCUCUGCAGCUCUUUGACUCGGUCCUUGACCGAUCUCUUGGGGGUCUCCUUGACGUGGCCACGCCUGUUCUGUUCCUGAGUCUCCGUGGCAACCUCAGCAGUAGCGUACAGAUUCCGACACGGGUAUCCAGACGUGUUCACCACAACAGGACUCCUGCUCAGGGCCUCCUGGGGGGAGCCUCCCUGCGCGACGACGCUGUUGGGAACGCUGUUGGGAACGCAGAGCUGAUCUGUCCCCCGCGUGUCCUGGUGUCGCCCGUCCGCUGUGCGCGCGGACAUGUCUGUGCCAUCUGGCUUGCUCUGGUGGGCAGCUGUGCACGCGGACAUGUCUGUGCCCUCCGGCUUGCUCUGGUGGGCAGGUGGGUCUCUGGUGGGUCUGAACUUGGGCGGGCUGUACAUGGCCUUGACUCUCUUCCUGUUGUCCUUGAGGUUGAAGAGCAGGCUGGUGGCCAUGGACCGGUAGCUCUCGCGCGCCUUCGUCUUCGUCUCGGGCGAGGGCUCGGGCACUGCAGCAACGGGGAGGUCAAGGGUCACGGGCGAGAAGAGGGCGGGCUCCAAGCUCUCCGUAUCCUGGCGACAGAGGAUGACGGGCGUGAGCAGGUGUGUGAUGUUGAACGGCGUGGAGCUGGCGGAGCUCUGCUCCUCCAUGCGUCUCACUUCCUGUCUCACUUCCUGUCUCACUUCCUGUCUCCUGGGCGGCCCGGCCUCGGUGGCGGGGGAGCUCUGCUCCUCCAUGCGUCUCACUUCCUCUCUCAUUUCCUGUCUCACUUCCUGUCUCCUGGGCGGCUCGGUGGCGGGGGAGCUCUUCUCCCUUUGGCCACCGGGGGCAGCGCUCCUCGCCCUGCUCCUGUUUCGCCUCCAGGGGGCGCUACACUCCGCGCUGUCUGCCGAGGGGCGGCGCUGCUCCAAGGCAGCAGGGUUUGGCACCAGAGAGGGAGUCUGUACCGCAGCCGGCGGCCCCCCCUCCACCCCUGCAGGUUUGGGCAGCGGCUCAGCCCCCUCCCCCCCCCGCAGGCGCGCUGCUCUCUUUGACUCGUCCACCCUCUGUGCAGUCGCAGUUGUCUGUGCACUUUCAAUUCUUUGCACAGUGUUAAUUCUCUGUGCACUUUCAAUUCUUUGCACAGUGUCAAUUCUCUGUGCACUUUCAAUUCUUUGCACAGUGUCAAAUCUCUGUGCGGUCUCAGUCUUUUGUCCACUUUCAGCCCUUUGCACAGUUGCAGUUAUUUGUACAUUUUCAGUGCCCUGUGCUGUGUCGAGUAUCUGAGUGUGUUUUGAUCUCUGUGCAGUUUCAGUUUUGUGUGACCUCUCCGUCCUCUGCACUGCCUCUGGGCCCCGCAAGGCUCCUGAUCUGUGUGCAAGGUCAAGUGUGUGUGCUGCAGGACUGAGUGUGUGUGCUGCAGGACUGAGUGUGUGUGCUGCAGGACUGAGUGUGUGUGCGGCAGGACUGAGUGUGUGUGCGGCAGUGAGGUGUCUGUAGAGAGUGGUGGUGUCGCCCCAGCGGGGGAAGCUGUGGGGGGGCGGCAGCAGGUCGGAAAUGUUCUCCUGUCCGAAGGGGAACUGGUGUAGGUCCUCCCACGCCUGGAACGGGCUGAACUCGCUGUGCAGGAAGAAGUUGCGGGAGUUCAGCUUCUUCAGCUUGCUGGACCUGCUGCUGUGUUUGGACUUGGAGGACUUCCCCCCCGAGGAAGCGCAAGCGGUGGCAUCCUUGCCGGACGUUUCCUUGCAGGAUUUUUUCUCGGCGGUGGAUCCGCCUUUAUGCUUCCCGGUGGCGUCGGCGAAGCUGCCGUCGGCCAGGCUCCUGUAGAAGUCGCUGGAGAACUCUGCCAGCUCCCUCUGGAUGCUCAGCAGAGCCGAUUUAUCCCACGACUCCGCGUUAUUCCCAGCCGGCGUUCCGUUCGGGAUUCUAGCGGCGGCGCCGCCAUUCUUCCCGGCUGUGAAGGCGGACAGGAGAGACGACACAUCCUUGUGCUGCCAGGCGACGGUGGCGGCGCCGUUGGAGCCGAGUUUCUUGUUGACGAGGCUCGGGGCAUUCUCCAGAACCUUCCGUGCGUGCUCGUCCGCCAGCGGCUUGAGCAGGCAGCUGCUGGGCGACGGCGUGAGGAACUCGGCGUCGUUGUAGACGGCCUCGUCGCCGAUGCAGAGCGAGUGGAAGGCGCGGUCCGUCAGCGUGCUGACCUCGCGAUCGGCCUCGUCCGUCAGGCUCUCGCACGAGCUGGUCAGGUUCCGGUGGUGGUGUGUCACGCGCAGACACACACUCCGCUUGUCCAGGCAGCUCAUGGUCACACACACCGAACUCACUCACAGAGCGAGAGGCUGGAGAGGACACACACACACACACACACACACACACACACACGUGUGCUCUUCGGUCAGACUGUUAAGAGCUCAGCAGACCACUACCUCAUCGCCUCCCUGAAAGACAGAAACAAACAAAUGUCAGAAACUAAACCCACACACACACACACACACACACACACACACACACUCCCCCCCCCCACACACACACUCUCACACACACACACACACACAACAGUCCUCACAUCCUAGAAACAUAAACAAACCUCUGCUGGAGACAAGUUACCUCAGCACAUAUACACACACAUAAACACAAACACAACACACACACAACACACAACAGCACUGUUUAAAAACUACUCUAAGAAUAUUUCACAUUCCAACCCAACAUUAAGGAUGAUGUCCUAUAUAUCAACCCAAAAGUCU
ensembl:lncRNA